GACGAACGCUGGCGGCGUGCUUAACACAUGCAAGUCGAACGGCAAGGCCCUGCUUUUGUGGGGUGCUCGAGUGGCGAACGGGUGAGUAACACGUGAGUAACCUGCCCUUGACUUUGGGAUAACUUCAGGAAACUGGGGCUAAUACCGGAUAGGAGCUCCUGCUGCAUGGUGGGGGUUGGAAAGUUUCGGCGGUUGGGGAUGGACUCGCGGCUUAUCAGCUUGUUGGUGGGGUAGUGGCUUACCAAGGCUUUGACGGGUAGCCGGCCUGAGAGGGUGACCGGCCACAUUGGGACUGAGAGACGGACCAGACUCCUACGGGAGGCAGCAGUGGGGAAUAUUGCACAAUGGGCGGAAGCCUGAUGCAGCAACGCCGCGUGCGGGAUGACGGCCUUCGGGUUGUAAACCGCUUUCGCCUGUGACGAAGCGUGAGUGACGGUAAUGGGUAAAGAAGCACCGGCUAACUACGUG
rnacentral:rRNA from 1 species